AGAACGAACGCUGGCGGCAUGCCUAACACAUGCAAGUCGAACGAGACCUUCGGGUCUAGUGGCGCACGGGUGCGUAACGCGUGGGAAUCUGCCCUUGGGUUCGGAAUAACAGUUGGAAACGACUGCUGAUGCCGGAUGAUGACGUAAGUCCAAAGAUUUAUCGCCCAGGGAUGAGCCCGCGUAGGAUUAGCUAGUUGGUGAGGUAAAGGCUCACCAAGGCGACGAUCCUUAGCUGGUCCGAGAGGAUGAUCAGCCACACUGGGACUGAGACACGGCCCAGACUCCUACGGGAGGCAGCAGUGGGGAAUAUUGGACAAUGGGCGAAAGCCUGAUCCAGCAAUGCCGCGUGAGUGAUGAGGGCCUUGGGUGUAAAGCUCUUUUACCCGGGAUGAUAAUGACAGUACCGGAGAAUAAGCUCCGGCUAACUCCGUGCUAGCCAGCCGC
rnacentral:rRNA from 1 species